AGUGAACGCUGGCGGUAGGCCUAACACAUGCAAGUCGAACGGCAGCACAGUAAGAGCUUGCUCUUACGGGUGGCGAGUGGCGGACGGGUGAGGAAUACAUCGGAAUCUACUUUUUCGUGGGGGAUAACGUAGGGAAACUUACGCUAAUACCGCAUACGACCUACGGGUGAAAGCAGGGGAUCUUCGGACCUUGCGCGAUUGAAUGAGCCGAUGUCGGAUUAGCUAGUUGGCGGGGUAAAGGCCCACCAAGGCGACGAUCCGUAGCUGGGCUGAGAGGAGGAUCAGCCACACUGAAACUGAGACACGGUCCAGACUCCUACGGGAGGCAGCAGUGGGGAAUAUUGGACAAUGGGCGCAAGCCUGAUCCAGCCAUACCGCGUGGGUGAAGAAGGCCUUCGGGUUGUAAAGCCCUUUUGUUGGGAAAGAAAAGCAGCAGGUUAAUACCCCGCUGUUCUGACGGUACCCAAAGAAUAAGCACCGGCUAACUGCGU
rnacentral:rRNA from 1 species